GACGAACGCUGGCGGCGUGCUUAACACAUGCAAGUCGAACGGAAAGGCCCUGCUUUUGUGGGGUGCUCGAGUGGCGAACGGGUGAGUAACACGUGAGUAACCUGCCCUUGACUUUGGGAUAACUUCAGGAAACUGGGGCUAAUACCGGAUAGGAGCUCCUGCUGCAUGGUGGGGGUUGGAAAGUUUCGGCGGUUGGGGAUGGACUCGCGGCUUAUCGGCUUGUUGGUGGGGUAGUGGCUUACCAAGGCUUUGACGGGUAGCCGGCCUGAGAGGGUGACCGGCCACAUUGGGACUGAGAUACGGCCCAGACUCCUACGGGAGGCAGCAGUGGGGAAUAUUGCACAAUGGGCGGAAGCCUGAUGCAGCAACGCCGUGUGCGGGAUGACGGCCUUCGGGUUGUAAACCGCUUUCGCCGGUGACGAAGCGUGAGUGACGGUAAUGGGUAAAGAAGCACCGGCUAACUACGUG
rnacentral:rRNA from 1 species